GAACGGAGCAUCCUGAUUGGCUGAUAUGAUAUAUGAGAGCGUCUGUCAUCAUUUCCAGCAUGUCCUGUACAGCAGAGCCAUCGUGCAGUGGCUCCAUGGUGCCAGUGCAGAAGGAGAAGGAACCUGACAGAGGAAGAAAAGCAAUCAAAUGUCCAUCCUGCUCCAGCAGCUGUGUCCUCCAGGUCAUCAUACUGGUAUUUCAGCCAGUUUGCUUCUAAAGGACAUGGGUGGAAAUGGGUGAAAAAGAGGCCGUUCCUGCAGGAGAAAAGAGGAAACAGCUUUGCCUCACAUCUGCCAGCAUCUGUAUUUCUCACUGCUUUCCCACCAUCUCCCCUUACUUCUUUCAGUUCUCCCUCUUUCCAUCACUGCUCACAUUGAGAGUUUGAUUAAGUCUCUGUCCUGGUUGCCAUGAUGAGAGAGUAUUUUUCAGGUUGGAGAGAGGCUCCUCUCCUCUCCUUUCUUUUCCCUAUCCUCUGCUCUCCUCUCAGUGGGGAACAUGUAAUUAGCCUUUCACUCUGUGAUGGAUGUGUUGGGAUGACAUAAAGGCUGGCAGGGUGUGAAAUGGAAAAAUCUACAAUGCUGAUGUAUCACUCAACAUCUGUGAGUGUGAGAGGAAGACAGUGAACUAGGGAGGAAAAGUAGGGGCAGAAGAAGGUGGAAAAAAACCAGAGAAAGUUGGGUGUCAAAAAAACAGCUGGAGAGUUUUCUG